UUUGGAAUUGCAGGCAUCUUUCCAGCUUUCUGUACACUAAUUACUGCAACCAAAACUACAAGAAGAAUGACUGACAGAGAAGCAAAGGCAAACUGCAAAAGGCAAACAGCAGCGUAGACAUGUUGUUUUGGGCACCUGGAGCAGCUGGCUGAAAGGAUCUCUGGGCUGGAACCCAGAGGAGCGGCUGGGCGUGGCUUCCCCUACCAGCCCACAGAGGGUGGGGAUAUGAAGACACCAGAGCCAAGGGCUGACAGGCCCAAAAGCCUUAAAUUGGGCUGAACUUCCAGCAUGAUGCUGUCAGGCCAGUGGCAUGUUGGACUGGAGGGUUCCCUGGAAGGGACAGGACUAAAAGUGAUCUGGAUGGAGGGUUAAGUCUCAGGAAGAGGCAGACCACUGCAGGGCCAGAGCAGGGCACAUCAAAAGACAAGGAGAGCCACUAUGCCAUGCCCAACCAGCAGGGGGUGACUGGUGGAUGAAUCACAUGCAUACAGUAGCUAUUUUAUAAUGCUCUCAGAGCACUUUACAAAGAUCAGUAUCACUGUCCCUGUGUUACAAACGAAUAUUUACAUUACAGUGUUCAUGUUCAAUUAUUGUUUUGGAAUGCUACCGAAAUUUUGCUGACAGUGCAACUCAGCACAGAAACUGCAGUUUUCAAAAUCUCUCAGCAAAAACCCGAACAGAAUUUCAUUAGAGAAAGAAAAGACAAUUCUCUGGCCCUGGUCUUACACCUGCUGCAUAGAACUGAAUUGUUAUGUAUUCUCUAAAAAAGGCUGCAAGAAUCAUUUACAAUGCCAAGUGUUAGACAAUCUAACUACAGGAGUUGCUACCAGCUCCUUCUAUAAUACCCAGAGAUUGUACAACUGGUUAUCUGCUGGGCUUCUCCCCUUUGAUAGGUGUACAGAAGCCACAAGAUUUGCUCCCACAUUUUUGUGCUCACAAACCUGGCAAGCACAAUUCUUUCCACUUUCAAAUAAAUAAAGGAAUCUUGGCUUUUAGAACAUUUAAUCCAUUAGACAAAACACACACACACAAUAUAUGGGGUCAAAUUUUUUUAAAGGUGCUCCAAGCCUGUACCCCAAUUUGUGUACAAAUGCUGUCUGAAUGCUCAGAUCGUACACACAGACCUGCACAGACAAAAUUAGAAGCCAUGUUUGAAAGCCUAGCCCACCAUACAUACAGUUUACUAUCUGCUGCUACAAACAGGGCAAGGAAUCCUAUGUGCCACAUAAAGAAAAAUAAAUUCAGAACAAGAAUCAAGAACAAAUUUUUUCCACACUGAUGAAGAGUCCAUGAGGCAAGAUUUCUGAGACAAAAGCAAUAGAGUUAUCCAAGAAACAAGUUAGACGCCAU